rnacentral:misc_RNA from 1 species
GAUGAAGAACGCAGCGAAAUGCGAUACGUAAUGUGAAUUGCAGAAUUCAGUGAAUCAUCGAGUCUUUGAACGCACAUUGCGCCCCCUGGUAUUCCGGGGGGCAUGCCUGUCCGAGCGUCAUUGCUUCCCUCAAGCACGGCUUGUGUGUUGGGCCUCCGUCCUCCUCCCGGGGGACGGGCCCGAAAGGCAGCGGCGGCACCGCGUCCGGUCCUCGAGCGUAUGGGGCUUCGUCACCCGCUCUUGUAGGCCCGGCCGGCGCUUGCCGACACAUCAAUCUUUUUUCCAGGUUGACCUCGGAUCAGGUAGGGAUACCCGCUGAACUUAAGAAUAUCAAUAAGCGGAUGA